AUGGGCAUCAAGGUUCGAAGAAAAGCAUCCCUUCAUAGAGAUGUAAGAGGAGACUACAUCGACGUGCCUUCGAAUCCAUAUUUGAUGAAGAUUUUGCAAAAGCAAGGUGACAACCAAGUUCUCUUUGCUGAUAAAGUAUUGAAAUUCACUAGUUCAGGGAAGAUGAAACGGCGUAUAUUAUUAAUAACGGACUUUGCCAUUUAUAUUGUUGAC
rnacentral:misc_RNA from 1 species